rnacentral:rRNA from 1 species
AGCGACGAUGCGGUAUGCCUUACACAUGCAGUCGUACGAGAGUUUUUAACUCAAGUGGCGGACGGGUGAGUAACACGUAAGAAUUUACCUUUAGGAGGGGGAUAACAACUGGAAACGGUUGCUAAUACCCCAUAUGCUUUCGAGUGAAAUGGUCCUUUGGGCCGCCUAGAGAGAAGCUUGCGGCUGAUUAGCUUGUUGGUGAGGUAAUGGCUCACCAAGGCGACGAUCAGUAUCUGGUUUGAGAGGACGAUCAGACACACUGGAACUGAGACACGGUCCAGACUCCUACGGGAGGCAGCAGUGGGGAAUUUUCCGCAAUGGGCGAAAGCCUGACGGAGCAAUACCGCGUGAGGGAUGACGGCCUAUGGGUUGUAAACCUCUUUUUUCAGGGAGGAAUCAAUGACGUGUACCUGAAGAAUAAGCAUCGGCUAACUCCGUGCCAGCAGCCGCGGUAAGACGGAGGAUGCAAGUGUUAUCCGGAAUCACUGGGCGUAAAGCGUCUGUAGGUGGUUUAAUAAGUCAACUGUUAAAUCUUGAGGCUCAACCUCAAAAUCGCAGUCGAAACUAUUAGACUAGAGUAUAGUAGGGGUAAAGGGAAUUUCCAGUGGAGCGGUGAAAUGCGUAGAUAUUGGAAGGAACACCGAUGGCGAAGGCACUUUACUGGGCUAUUACUAACACUCAGAGACGAAAGCUAGGGUAGCAAAUGGGAUUAGAUACCCCAGUAGUCCUAGCUGUAAACAAUGGAUACUAGAUGUUGAACAGAUCGACCUGUGCAGUAUCAAAGCUAACGCGUUAAGUAUCCCGCCUGGGAAGUAUGCUCGCAAGAGUGAAACUCAAAUGAAUUGACGG